rnacentral:misc_RNA from 1 species
GGGGCAGAGAGAAGGUCUUUCUGUCCCCGCCCUGCACAAAUUAGGGUCGGGGCAGGGUCGUGGAAAAUUGAUUGGGUUCGGAACUUUUGCCAUCUCUAUUGUCAUAUGUUAUUUUCUAUGCAUGGACCGGCAAUAAUGUCCUAAUCUCAUUAAGAAACAUAUAUUUUUCUUUGUUUUUAAACUUGCUUCUUUUUUUCCUACUGACUUGUACUGAAAUAAUG